rnacentral:rRNA from 1 species
UACGAGUGCCCCAAGCGUUAUCCGGAAUUAUUGGGCGUAAAGGGUGUGUAGGCGGUUCUGUUAGUCGGUCGUUAAAGCUCCGGGCUUAACCUGGAAAAUGCGAUCGAAACGGCAGAUCUGAGAGGAUGCGAGAGGUCUAGGGAACUCAUAGUGUAGGGGUGAAAUCCGUUGAUAUUAUGGGGAACACCAAAUGCGAAGGCACUAGACUGGCGCACUCCUGACGCUGAAACACGAAAGCGUGGGUAGCGAAUGGG